rfam:Streptomyces sp. 769, complete genome.
CGAGCCGGCCGGGCGGCCGCGUGGGGAUCAUCGAUCCCCCCGAGGAACGUCCGGGCUCCACAAGGCAGGGUGGUGGGUAACGCCCACCCGGGGUGACCCGCGGGACAGUGCCACAGAAAGCAAACCGCCCGGGCCGCACGGCCCGGGUAAGGGUGAAACGGUGGUGUAAGAGACCACCAGUGCCCAGGGUGACCUGGGCAGCUAGGUAAACCCCACCCGGAGCAAGGUCAAGAGGGGCCAUCGGCUGAUGGCCCUGCGCGGACGAUCGAGGGCUGCCCGCCCGAGUCCGCGGGUAGACCGCACGAGGCUGCCGGCAACGACAGCCCUAGAUGGAUGGCCGCCUCCCGGCCGACCGCAAGGUCGCCCGGAGACAGAACCCGGCGUACAGGCCGGCUCGUCCG